rnacentral:rRNA from 1 species
AUGAAGCUUCUCUUCUCCAUGGAUGAAUCUCAACUGGAAACACCAAGCUAUCUCAAGGGAGGGGAUUCUCAAGUCACCCCACUUCCAAUCCAUGGACGCUAUCCACAAGGACCAAGAUAUCGACGACCAGGAAGGAAGGAGCCCACGCCCGACCGCGACGACGGCGGUUCCAUUUGUGUGCCGGCGUCGACCACAACCUCCCUCUCUAUAAUAUGGUUGUGCUUUAUUUUAAUUGAAAGAAGUUCAUUCUCAACUCACUCUGCUUAUAUCAUAAUUCAGCACCGACUCUUUCAGUCUUUCCUGCCUCCUAGCAUGCUUUUACUCUGCAUCUGCUACGUGAUAGUUAUUGUUACUGUAAAAUAUGUUUGA